UGGGGAAUAUUGCACAAUGGGCGCAAGCCUGAUGCAGCCAUGCCGCGUGUAUGAAGAAGGCCUGCGGGUUGUAAAGUACUAUCAGCGGGGAGGAAGGCGAUAAGGUUAAUAACCUUGUCGAUUGACGUUACCCGCAGAAGAAGCACCGGCUAACUCCGUGCCAGCAGCCGCGGUAAUACGGAGGGUGCAAGCGUUAAUCGGAAUUACUGGGCGUAAAGCGCACGCAGGCGGUCUGUCAAGUCGGAUGUGAAAUCCCCGGGCUCAACCUGGGAACUGCAUUCGAAACUGGCAGGCUAGAGUCUUGUAGAGGGGGGUAGAAUUCCAGGUGUAGCGGUGAAAUGCGUAGAGAUCUGGAGGAAUACCGGUGGCGAAGGCGGCCCCCUGGACAAAGACUGACGCUCAGGUGCGAAAGCGUGGGGAGCAAACA
rnacentral:rRNA from 1 species